GCACAGCUCCACUACCCCCUGGCAGGCCACAAUAACGGCCAUGAACCUGCUCCACCUCCUGCGAUGGAUUCCAUGCGAUUCUCCCAUCCGCUGGUGAGUCACGACAACGGACGCUGCUCCACCCCUCGUAACAGAUUCCACGUGGCGAGCCACGGUGAUGGCCACGCGUCUACUCCACUAUCCUUUGCAAUUAAUUCCCCUGACCAUGGGCGGCCCACUACCAGACGGU
rnacentral:lncRNA from 1 species